GAUGAACGCUAGCUACAGGCUUAACACAUGCAAGUCGAGGGACCGGCGCCCGGGUGAGUAACACGUAUCCAACCUUCCCUUUCCUCGGGGCUAGCCUUUCGAAAGAAAGAUUAAUACCCGAUAUCACGGAUGGGGAUGCGUUCCAUUAGGUUGUUGGUGAGGUAACGGCCCACCAAGCCUUCGAUGGAUAGGGGUUCUGAGAGGAAGGUCCCCGACAUUGGAACUGAGACACGGGCCAAACUCCUACGGGAGGAAGCAGUGAGGAAUAUUGGUCAAUGGGCGUUAGCCUGAACCAGCCAAGUAGCGUGAAGGAUGAAGGCUUAUGGGUCGUAAACUUCUUUUAUAGAAGAAUAUGUAUUAUAUGAAUAAGGAUCGGCUAACUCCGUGCCAGCAGCCGCGGUAAUUC
rnacentral:rRNA from 1 species